rnacentral:miRNA from 1 species
GACGUCGAAUAUCGACGUCAUAAACACCAAAGUUGCUCGUGUUUAUGACGUCGAAUAUCGACGUCAUAAACACCAAAGUUGUUCGUGUUUAUGACGUCGAAUAACGACGUCAUAAACACCAAAGUUGUUCGUGUUUAUGACGUCGAAUAUCGACGUCAUAAACACCAAAGUUGUUCGUGUUUAUGACGUCGAAUAUCGACGUCAUAAACACCAAAGUUGUUCGUGUUUAUGACGUCGAAUAUCGACGUC